UACGUAGGUGCAAGCGUUGUCCGGAUUAUCGUGGCGUAAAGGGCGCGUAGGCGGUCGUGACAAGUCACUUGUGAAAUCUCCGGGCUUAACUCGGAACGGUCAAGUGAUACUGUCGGACUAGAGUACAGAAGGGGCAACUGGAAUUCUCGGUGUAGCGGUGAAAUGCGUAGAUAUCGAGAGGAACACCUGCGGCGAAGGCGGGUUGCUGGGCUGAUACUGACGCUGAGGCGCGAAAGCCAGGGGAGCGAACGGG
rnacentral:rRNA from 1 species